rnacentral:misc_RNA from 1 species
AAGUCGUAACAAGGUCUCCGUAGGUGAACCUGCGGAGGGAUCAUCAAAGGAUUUUUCCAAAGAAAAAAGGGUGUAUUGCUUUUUUCCUUGUAAAAGAGGAGAGGAGUGGUAUGCUCUUUUUUCUUCAAACAAACGAUCACAACUAUUGAAUGAAUGAAAAUUUGAUUUGGUUUGACUUGACUUGACUUGAAAAAAAGUGUUUGCCUGAUAAUCUAAUGGUUUGGAAAAACAAGAGAAAGAAAUACAACUUUCAACAACGGAUCUCUUGGCUCUCA